UAGCUAGUUGGUGAGGUAACGGCCCACCAAGGCGACGAUCGGUAGCCGGACUGAGAGGUUGAACGGCCACAUUGGGACUGAGACACGGCCCAGACUCCUACGGGAGGCAGCAGUGGGGAGUAUUGCACAAUGGGGGAAACCCUGAUGCAGCGACGCCGCGUGGAGGAAGAAGGUCUUCGGAUUGUAAACUCCUGUUGUUGAGGAAGAUAAUGACGGUACUCAACAAGGAAGUGACGGCUAACUACGUGCCAGCAGCCGCGGUAAAACGUAGGUCACAAGCGUUGUCCGGAAUUACUGGGUGUAAAGGGAGCGCAGGCGGGAAGACAAGUUGGAAGUGAAAUCCAUGGGCUCAACCCAUGAACUGCUUUCAAAACUGUUUUUCUUGAGUAGUGCAGAGGUAGGCGGAAUUCCCGGUGUAGCGGUGGAAUGCGUAGAUAUCGGGAGGAACACCAGUGGCGAAGGCGGCCUACUGGGCACCAACUGACGCUGAGGCUCGAAAGUGUGGGUAGCAAACAGGAUUAGAUACCCUGGUAGUCCACACUGUAAACGAUGAUUACUAGGUGUUGGAGGAUUGACCCCUUCAGUGCCGCAGUUAACACAAUAAGUAAUCCACCUGGGGAGUACGACCGCAAGGUUGAAACUCAAAGGAAUUGACGGGGGCCCGCACAAGCAGUGGAGUAUGUGGUUUAAUUCGACGCAACGCGAAGAACCUUACCAAGUCUUGACAUCCUGCGACGGUUCUGGAAACAGAACUUUCCUUCGGGACGCAGAGACAGGUGGUGCAUGGUUGUCGUCAGCUCGUGUCGUGAGAUGUUGGGUUAAGUCCCGCAACGAGCGCAACCCUUAUGGUCAGUUACUACGCAAGAGGACUCUGGCCAGACUGCCGUUGACAAAACGGAGGAAGGUGGGGAUGACGUCAAAUCAUCAUGCCCUUUAUGACUUGGGCUACACACGUACUACAAUGGCGUUAAACAAAGAGAAGCAAGACCGCGAGGUGGAGCAAAACUCAGAAACAACGUCCCAGUUCGGACUGCAGGCUGCAACUCGCCUGCACGAAGUCGGAAUUGCUAGUAAUCGCAGAUCAGCAUGCUGCGGUGAAUACGUUCCCGGGCCUUGUACACACCGCCCGUCACACCAUGAGAGCCGGGGGGACCCGAAGUCGGUAGUCUAACCGCAAGGAGGACGCCGCCGAAGGUAAAACUGGUGAUUGGGGUGAAGUCGUAACAAGGUAGCCGUAGGAGAACCUGCGGCUG
rnacentral:rRNA from 1 species